AGCAGCCGCGGUAAUUCCAGCUCCAAUAGCGUAUAUUAAAGUUGUUGUGGUUAAAAAGCUCGUAGUUGAACCUUGGGCCUGGCUGGCCGGUCCGCCUCACCGCGUGUACUGGUCCGGCCGGGCCUUUCCCUCUGUGGAACCCCCAUGCCCUUCACUGGGUGUGGCGGGGAAACAGGACUUUUACUGUGAAAAAAAUUAGAGUGCUCCAGGCAGGCCUAUGCUCGAAUACAUUAGCAUGGAAUAAUAGAAUAGGACGUGUGGUUCUAUUUUGUUGGUUUCUAGGACCGCCGUAAUGAUUAAUAGGGACAGUCGGGGGCAUCAGUAUUCAAUUGUCAGAGGUGAAAUUCUUGGAUUUAUUGAAGACUAACUACUGCGAAAGCAUUUGCCAAGGAUGUUUUCAUUAAUCAGGAACGAAAGUUAGGGGAUCGAAGACGAUCAGAUACCGUCGUAGUCUUAACCAUAAACUAUGCCGACUAGGGAUCGGACGGUGUUAUUUUUUGACCCGUUUCGGCA
rnacentral:sRNA from 1 species